rnacentral:lncRNA from 1 species
AUCUUAUUUUUCUUUUAAUUUAUUUAAUUCUUUUGAUGAUUGUGUGCUCUUUCUUUUCGGGCAUUUCUUUGUGCACAUACUAAGAAACCAUAAUUAUAUACACUAAAACCUUGCUGUGGUGCUUUGAUCCUCUAGGUACAUUAACCUCCUCAUUUUAAGUCCGUAGGCAUCCAUGACAAAAAUCAAACAAUUACACACACUUACACACUCAU